rnacentral:rRNA from 1 species
UACGUAUGGGGCAAGCGUUAUCCGGAAUUAUUGGGCGUAAAGAGUGCGUAGGUGGUUUUUUAAGCGUGGGGUUUAAGGCUAGGGCUUGACCGUAGUUCGCCCCACGAACUGAAAGACUUGAGUGCUGGAGGGGAAAGUGGAAUUCCUAGUGUAGCGGUGAAAUGCGCAGAUAUUAGGAGGAACACCGGUGGCGAAGGCGGCUAUCUGGACAGUAACUGACGCUGAGGCGCGAAAGCGUGGGGAGCAAACA